AGAGUUUGAUUCUGGCUCAGAACGAACGCUGGCAGCGUGGAUUAGGCAUGCAAGUCGAACGGGAAUCUGUGUGUUCAAUCCUUCGGGAGAGAACGUAUGGAGGAGAGUGGCGGAAGGGUGAGUAACGCGUGGGUCAUCUGCCUCUAAGUUGGGGAUAACUUCUCGAAAGGGGAGAUAAUACCGAAUGUGGUCGUUUCGCAGAUGAGAGAUUGAUUAAAGGUGGGUUAACCUUAGGUUUCUGCCGCUUGGAGAGGAGCCCGCGUCCUAUCAGCUUGUUGGUGAGGUAACGGCUCACCAAGGCAUACGGGUAGCUGGUCUGAGAGGAUGGUCAGCCACACUGGGACUGAGACACUGCCCAGACUCCUACGGGAGGCUGCAGUCGAGGAUCAUUCACAAUGCGCGAAAGCGUGAUGAUGCGACGCUGCGUGGAGGAUGAAGGCCUUCGGGUCGUAAACUCCUGUCAUUCGGGAAAAACUGUCGUGUGGGGAAUAUACACGCGACAUGAUGUUACCGAAAGAGGAAGCCACGGCUAACUCUGUGCCAGCAGCCGCGGUAAUACAGAGGUGGCGAGCGUUGUUCGGAUUUACUGGGCGUAAAGGGUGCGUAGGCGGUCUAGUAUGUCGGAUGUGAAAGCCCACUGCUCAACAGUGGAACUGCAUUCGAAACUGCGAGACUAGAGUGCAGGAGGGGAGAGCGGAAUUCCUGGUGUAGCGGUGAAAUGCGUUGAUAUCAGGAAGAACACCGGUGGCGAAGGCGGCUCUCUGGAAUGUAACUGACGCUGAGGCACGAAAGCUGGGGGAGCAAACAGGUUUAGAUACCCUGGUAGUCCCAGCUGUAAACGGUGUGCACUUGGUGUGGGGAGUAUUGACCCUCUCCGUGCCGGAGCUAACGCAUUAAGUGCACCGCCUGGGGAGUACGGCCGCAAGGCUAAAACUCAAAGAAAUUGACGGGGGCCUGCACAAGCGGAGGAGCAUGUGGCUUAAUUCGAUGCAACGCGAAGAACCUUACCAGGGCUUGACAUGCAGCUGCAAGCUCUCUGAAAGGAGAGCCGCCUUCGAGGGUGCUGCACAGGUGCUGCAUGGCUGUCGGCAGUUCGUGCCGUGAGGUGUUGGGUUAAGUCCCGCAACGAACGCAACCCUUGUGUUUAGUUGCCACCGCCGGUGAUGAGCCGGCGAGCACUCUAGACAGACUGCCCGUACAAGCGGGAGGAAGGUGGGGACGACGUCAAGUCAGUAUGGCCCUUACGCCCUGGGCUGCACACGUGCUACAAUGGCCGGUACAGAGGGAUGCAAUGCCGCGAGGUGGAGCAAAUCCCCAAAGCCGGCCUCAGUUCGGAUUGGAGUCUGCAACUCGACUCCAUGAAGUUGGAUUCGCUAGUAACGGCGUAUCAGCUACGGCGCCGUGAAUACGUUCCCAGGCCUUGUACACACCGCCCGUCACAUCAUGAAAGCCGUCUGUACCCGAAGUCGCUGAGCCAACCCUGAGCUUGUCGAAGGGAGGCAAGUGCCGAAGGUGCGGGUGGUGAUUGGGAUGAAGUCGUAACAAGGUA
rnacentral:rRNA from 1 species